rnacentral:rRNA from 1 species
AUUGAACGCUGGCGGCAGGCCUAACACAUGCAAGUCGAGCGGCAGCGGGAAAGUAGCUUGCUACUUUUGCCGGCGAGCGGCGGACGGGUGAGUAAUGCCUGGGGAUCUGCCCAGUCGAGGGGGAUAACUACUGGAAACGGUAGCUAAUACCUCAUACGCCCCACGGGGGAAAGCAGGGGACCUUCGGGCCUUGCGCGAUUGGUUGAACCCAGGUGGGAUUAGCUAGUUGGUGAGGUAACGGCUCACCAAGGCGACGAUCCCUAGCUGGUCUGAGGGGAUGAUCAGCCACACUGGAACUGAGACACGGUCCAGACUCCUACGGGAGGCAGCAGUGGGGAAUAUUGCACAAUGGGGGAAACCCUGAUGCAGCCAUGCCGCGUGUGUGAAGAAGGCCUUCGGGUUGUAAAGCACUUUCAGCGAGGAGGAAAGGCCAGUAGCUAAUAUCUGCUGGCUGUGACGUUACUCGCAGAAGAAGCACCGGCUAACUCCGUGCCAGCAGCCGCAGUAA